ACCCUCCGUUUGUUUCUCAGAGUCCAGAAUUUCCUCUAUUUAACAAGGAAAUGAAUUAACAGAGAACACAUAGGCUCCAGAAAAGAGGGAGUCAAAGAAGUGGAAUGAUUCUACAAUGAUUGUAAAAAUCAUACCCAGGAUUGCAGCUAUGUAGUAGGCCUAGAGAGAAGCCAGAUCAGAUUGGAACUGUAUUAUAUGGAGAGCCAAGAGUGUUUUCCCAGGGAAAAUUGUGUUUUAUAAGUUAACUGAUAUAUUUGGUUAUGCUUAGAGAUAUGUUAAAGUUCUAUUUGGAGUGUUUGGGGAAAGAAUUAGUAAUAGAUACAAAGUAAAGUGAUAAAAAAAAAGGCUCCAGAUACAGGUUGCGUAUCUGACGAGAGUUCAGAACACUGCUGCUUAUCAAGUCUAAGGAGCAAUGGCAACAUGAAAAUUCAUCUUCAAAAUAUUCUGAGUUCCAUGGUCAACCAUGGUCAGCAUAUAGUCAGAAAAACCUAACUGCUACAUCAGGAUGCCGACAUCAUUCACCUCACUUCGUCUCAUCUUGUUGGCAUUUUAUCAUUUCAUCAUCAUCAGAAGGUGGCUGAAUUUAUUCACUCCUGAAUUUGAAAAACUGAACUUCUGAACAAAACAGGGAAGAUUUGAAUCACUGUCAACAAUUUCCUUGGACCCAUGAUGUUACCAGUUCUGAGAUAUUCCAUGGUUUUGUGUACUGCCAAGAAAGAAUUUUUUUAAAAGUCAAUUAAACACUGACACAUUGUUUUAUUGCUAUAUAAUAAAGUAUCAC